rnacentral:rRNA from 1 species
AACGCGAAGAACCUUACCUGGGCUCGAAGCGCAGUGGACCGGGGUAGAAAUAUCCCUUCCCCUUAAAAGGCUGCUGCGGAGGUGCUGCAUGGCUGUCGUCAGCUCGUGUCGUGAGAUGUUGGGUUAAGUCCCGUAACGAGCGCAACCCCUAUCCUUAGUUACCAACGAGUAAAGUCGGGGACUUUAAGGAGACUGCUGGUGAUAAACCGGAGGAAGGUGGGGAUGACGUCAAGUCCUCAUGGCCCUUACGAGUAGGGCUACACACGUGCUACAAUGGUCGGUACAAAGGGAAGCGAACCUGCGAAGGGGAGCGGAUCCCAGAAAGCCGAUCGUAGUCCGGAUUGGAGUCUGCAACUCGACUCCAUGAAGUUGGAAUCGCUAGUAAUCGCGGAUCAGCACGCCGCGGUGAAUACGUUCCCGGGCCUUGUACACACCGGAGUGC